rnacentral:lncRNA from 1 species
UUUUUUUUUUUUGUAAAUUCAAGACGAACUCAUAUAUUAGCUCUAUUCAAUUUAUAUAUAAGCAUCAAAAUGAACUGAUUUUUUUUUUAUUUUAAGUAGAGGUGGUCCUCUUGUGUAUCGAGAUUCGAGGGUACGUACAUGUAGCCAAAAAAUUAUAAGCUUGAAUCAUAUUAAUACAUUAAACUUACAGCACACAUUCAAUAACGAUUAUAGUUU